rnacentral:tRNA from 3 species
CACUAAGAAGCUAAUAGCAUUAACCUUUUAAGUUAAAGAUAGGAAACCUUUACUUCCCUUAGUGU